GUCGGGCGGCAGCGGGGUGGGAGCUUGCUCCCACUGCCGGCGAGCGGCGCACGGGUGAGUAACACGUAUGCAACCUGCCCCUGUCAGGGGGACAACCCGCCGAAAGGCGGGCUAAGCCCGCGUAUAUCGCCCCGGGGCAUCCCGGGGGGAGGAAAGGAGCGAUCCGGACAGGGAUGGGCAUGCGGCGCAUUAGCUGGUCGGCGGGGUAACGGCCCACCGAGGCGACGAUGCGUAGGGGUUCUGAGAGGAAGGCCCCCCACACUGGUACUGAGACACGGACCAGACUCCUACGGGAGGCAGCAGUGAGGAAUAUUGGUCAAUGGGCGGGAGCCUGAACCAGCCAAGCCGCGUGAGGGAAGAAGGUACAGCGUAUCGUAAACCUCUUUUGUCAGGGAACAAAGGCGGGGACUAGUCCCCGGAUGAGGGUACCUGAAGAAAAAGCAUCGGCUAACUCCGUGCCAGCAGCCGCGGUAAUACGGAGGAUGCGAGCGUUAUCCGGAUUUAUUGGGUUUAAAGGGUGCGCAGGCGGCCUGUUAAGUCAGCGGUAAAAGCCCGGGGCUCAAUCCCGGCGAGCCGUUGAAACUGGCGGGCUGGAGUUGGAGAGAAGUACGCGGAAUGCGCGGUGUAGCGGUGAAAUGCUUAGAUAUCACGCAGAACUCCGAUUGCGAAGGCAGCAUACCGGCGCCCGACUGACGCUGAAGCACGAAAGCGUGGGUAUCGAACAGGAUUAGAUACCCUGGUAGUCCACGCAGUAAACGAUGAAUACUAGCUGUCCGG
rnacentral:rRNA from 1 species